UACGUAGGGGGCAAGCGUUGUCCGGAAUCAUUGGGCGUAAAGCGCGUGUAGGCGGCUUAGUAAGUCUGCUCUGAAAGCCCGGGGCUCAACCCUGGGAGGCGGGUGGAUACUGUCGGGCUUGAGUACGGAAGAGGCGAGUGGAAUUCCUGGUGUAGCGGUGAAAUGCGCAGAUAUCAGGAAGAACACCCGUGGCUAAGGCGGCUCUCUAGUACGGUACUGACGCUGAGACGCGAAAGCGUGGGGAGCGAACAGG
rnacentral:rRNA from 1 species